CUCAUGGAUAAUUUAUUUCUUGAUCAAAACUGAUCAAGUUGUAGAGCUUGUCAAGAAGAUAAACUGUGUCAAAGAUCGUGUUAAUCGAAUGUGGAUUAAUACCUGAUCGGAGGUGAUUGGUGUGAAUUCUUUUUUAUGAAAAUAGAAUUUGGUACACUGGAUCAAAAACCCAUUUUCAGUACGGCAGGAAUUCUCUCCGUUUUCAUCACGCUCCGGUUGAUUUCUGUUCUGGGGUAUGCUUCUCUUCUCUUUGUGCGAUAUUGAAACUCCAAUUGUUUUGUGGAAUCAUCAGACUGCACAGAUGGCGCGCGCAAGUGCAAAUUUCUAUACUGCUUAAUACGAGAUGAAUAAUCGGUUUUUGUGCUUUUGCGUAAGCUACCACAUCUGUGACGUCCAUGUAGCACAAUCCUUUCAGGAUACCAGUCCAGCUGAUGGGGAGGAGGUGCCACCCAAAAGAUACUACUAGUUUGUCCUGUCGUCAUUGGUAUCCUCUAUUUGCAUCAUGCUGACAUUUGCGCAGCCUAUAUUUUUCAUGGUAUGGUUUAAUGGUUUAUCCCUAUCUUAAUCAGAUUCCUCUAUUGUUCCAUUGGAAAUUCUCCGAGGACAUACAAGUUCAAAUGGAAGAGAUUAGUGCUUUGAUUCUCCAUCUUGUUCUUCUUCAUGUGGUUCAAAUGGAAGCAAUGAUUAUCCUUGUGGAAUAUAUUGAAGUAUCUCAACAUUAGUGUGGACACACUUUCUAUUGAAUAUCGGCUGACAUUUUUGUCAAUUUUCUUGAAUUUUAGGAGUAAUGAACUGCAAGUUCCAUCCUUGGCAGCCCUGGUUGUUCAUGACAGGUGCUGGUUUAGUGAUCAGAUUUCACUAAGAUUAGUUGUGGAGGGAAAGGCGUUUCAGAAAUGGUGAUAGGACAGUAUCAAUAGGAUGGAGGGCAGCUGAAAUAUGUAUCAGUUGUUAUAUUCAGUGUUAAAGCUUUGUUUGGUUAACAAUUUAGAAAGUUAUUUUUGAGAGUUGGAGUGGUAAUGAGUGGAGAGAGAUAGAGAGAAAGAUUUAUUGAAAACUGUGCCAAGAGUUAAAAGUAACUCUCUGAAUGUUAAACCAAACGGAGUGUUAUCUCUUGGAUAGACUACUUGAUGAAUGGUUUAUAGCAAAGGAUGGAGAGGAGCUGAUCCCCAGGCCUCAAGUUCUCUGUACCGUAUUUUGGUAUAUCGGUGUUCUUGUGCAUUAUUUGCCUUUGGAUCUCAUUUUAAAAUUCUCAUCUCUCAAGAUUUCAACUUAAUCCAAGAAUCAAAAAGACAGAAAUAGUGGGUCUACCAAACAACCAGCACAGCGGACUUGAACCCAUGAUCAUUCCCCCCUUAAGUCGUUUUGCCUGAUGUUGAUUGAAUUGCAUUUUUUCUUAUGAAGGUUCAUCCUUGGUUUCAUCUUUGGUGUUAUUCCUUGGUAUGUUGGAGCAAUCAUGCUACUCUGUGUCAAAAGAAAGGACUACAACAGAGAGAAACCUGGAUAUAUCGCUUGCGCAAUUUUUGCUGUCAUUGGUACCGUUCUGAUCGUUGUAGAAAUGACGACGAGGUAUGCAUAGCGAAGACCUUGAUUGCAUUUUUACUGCGCAUUGCGAAGUUUCUCGGCUGAUCUUGUCUAUGGUUGAGCAGCUUCUUUGUAUUGGAGAGGGAGAGAGUAAUCAGUACAGAGGAAACUUAUGAAAAAACCGUGUUGUUAGAGAGAGGUUGGUUAAGAAUCCCAAGUGAACAAGUUGAUUCAGUUUCAGCUUAAGUUUGUGAGUUUAUUGAAUCGUUCAUACGAAGUUGCAUAAUGAUUUAAGCUUAUUGUCCACAUUCAACA